UACGUAGGAUGCAAGCGUUGUCCGGAAUUAUUGGGCGUAAAGAGCGCGCAGGCGGUCACUCAAGUCAGAUGUGAAAUAUCCGGGCUUAACCCGGAGGGGUCAUUUGAAACUGAGUAACUAGAGUACAGCAGAGGAUAGCGGAAUUCCCGGUGUAGUGGUGAAAUUCGUAGAUAUCGGGAGGAACACCAGUGGCGAAGGCGGCUGACUGGUCCGGUUCUGACGCUGAGGCGCGAAAGCGUGGGGAGCAAACAGG
rnacentral:rRNA from 1 species